GGGAGGAGCGGCCCCCGCCCAGCGCUCCGGAGCGGUUGCGAGGAGGAAAUGGCGGCGCGGCGCGGCUGAGCCCCUCGGCGGCGGCGGCGAGACCCCCGUCCCCUCCCCGCGGUGUCAGCAGGAAAAGGACGAUUUUCAGUAUUUGGUCCUGCUGACAGCUCAAAGACUCAGUCUGGCGCGUCUGAAUCAGGAAAUUCAGCAUGUGCUGAAAGGAUAAUGCUGAAUGACUCUGAUCCUUUGCUGCCCUCAUCUGGCUCUCCUUUUCAUUCGUCACAACAGGGAGAAACCAUUCAAACCUCUAAUGCUGUGUCAGCAUUUCAGGGUGGGGAGAGUGGUGUCUGUGCUAUGGAACAAGCUGUAAGUUUACAGCCAGUGUCAUUGGAAUCUGAAUCUAAUACUGAUAACAUGGAAAACAGUUCCCCUGCAUCAGCUUUGGAUGAAAAAGGUGAGCAAAGCAAUGAGGAGGAACAAAAAACUAUCAAACCUACAAGCAAAGAGUUCAGGAAAACCUGGGGUUUUCGAAGGACUACAAUUGCCAAGAGAGAAGGUGCAGGAGAUAUUGAUAUGGACUCUAGUGAACAACAGCCGCAGCAGCAGCAACAAGGCUUAAACCUCAGGCGUAGUGGACGACAACCAAAGCGAACAGAAAGAGUGGAAGAAUUUCUUACAACAGUAAGACGCAGAGGAAGGAGGAAUGCUCCUAUUGCUCUGGAAGAUUCAAGUGAACCCGCAUCCUGUCCAGCCACAGAUGCUGAAACCGCUUCAGAAGAUAGCGUCGAGAGUGCUUCAGAUAUAAAACCUGUGACUCGGAGGAGUGGCACUAGGAGUAGUAAGGAUCAAAAAGGCUCUAAAAGCAGGCGCACAAAAGACGAAGAGGAGGAGGAGGAAGAGGAAGAAGAGGAAGAAGAUACUUCUGAUAGCGACAGCGAUGGGUUAACACUAAAGGAACUGCAGAAUCGACUAAGAAACAAACGUGUUGAACAGAAGCCUGCUCAACUGACACUGAAAGAUAUACAGAACCGCCUGAGAAAAAGACCUUCUGAGCAAGAUCCUACAGAAACUGGCGAUGUCCAGCCUGAAAAUCAAGUUAAAGAUGAAUUACCUGUCAAACAGGAGCCUGAGAUUGUAGAUGGCACUGAGGUUGCAAGUCAGGUUACUGUGUCUGAGGAAAACACUGAAGAUCUUCAGGUUCAGAAGGAGGUAAAGCCUACUGUUGGAGUAAAAGGGGUUACAGACGAAGGACUUGAAGAAUUGCCCAAAGGAAAACCAGAAUCUGAGAUUUAUGACCCCAACGCGUUGUAUUGUAUCUGUCGUCAGCCUCAUAACAACAGGUUUAUGAUUUGUUGCGAUAGAUGUGAGGAAUGGUUUCAUGGUGACUGUGUGGGUAUCUCUGAGGCUCGAGGGCGGCUGUUGGAGAGGAAUGGUGAGGACUAUAUCUGUCCAAACUGCACCAUUCUCCAGGUACAGGAUGAGCCUAUUUCAGAAACAGAGCAGCAGGAAGAUAAAGCAAGCCAAAUAAAUGUGGACGGUAUGGAAUUCACAAGCAUAGGAACAGUUGAACAAAAGUCUGUUGAAGACCAAGGGAUCAAGGGUAGGAUUGAAAAAGCUUCAAAUCCAAGUGGGAAGAAAAAACUCAAGAUAUUUCAGCCUGUAAUUGAAACUCCUGGUGCGUCAAAGUGCAUUGGUCCUGGCUGUUUUAAUGUGGCUCAGCCUGAUUCUGUGUACUGCAGCAAUGACUGCAUUCUCAAACAUGCUGCAGCCACCAUGAAGUUUCUCAGUGCGGGCAAAGAUUCAAAAACAAAACCUAAAGAGAAGGUCAAAUCAAAAUCUGAAAAACCCAGCGUGCCAAAAACUCAGCUGCAGACAGGUACUAAACCUCUUUCAAACCAGAAGAGACAAUAUCCUGAGAAAAGAGAGAUGACCAUGAAGAAGGUUUUGACAUCUGCCAAGACUGAGGCAAACACUCAACCUUACGCUAAAGAGCCAGCAGUAGAAAACAGCACACCUUCCUGGGCAAGCGAUCAUAAUUACAAUGCUGUAAAGCCUGAAAAGACUGCUGCCAUUUCAUCUUCACUGUUGUUCAAAUGUAUGUAUCGCAUAGGGAUAUUCCUGAAUAAUCAUUUACAUUUUCUUUGAAUACCCAUCCAUUCUUGGCUCUGCAAGACUAGGGAGUUUAGGAUAUUUUUCUUUUUUUUUUGCUUAAUACGGUACAAAAUGUCUUUUCUCCACCUUCAAAGAUUCACACACAGAUGCACGUAAAUGGGAAACACUUGUUGAAGUUUCAUUUGUAUCAUAUGACAGUUGUAUGAUUAAGAGCCUGUCAGUCUACCCAGCUGAUUUGUGGAUGCAAACUUCAUGAUUAAGCUUUAAAUUUUUCCCAUAAAGACACUAACUGUGUAUGAUCUGGAAAAGAUUUGGCACCUUUCUCUCAGGUCUUGCAUUUUCAUUGCUAGUGCCGAGAAUGACAUCUCCGACGUGGUAUCCAACAAUACUUUACACUUCUGCAAACAGCUUUUAACUGUCAAGUAUACUCCAGCUCUUCCUGCUGCUUUUCUUCCUUACAUGAAAUAAUUUGAGGACCAUUCUUUAAUUUUAAGUUUGGGGGGAGGCAGUACUUUUUUUUUUCCUUUCUAUUUAUAUGUUCAUACUUCACACAUUAUCCACACACACAAGAACACAUCUUAAGUGGGUAUCAGGCAGAAACAUUGCCUUGCAUAUUUUUGCAGGUUUUGAAUAGCAUCCUUGUAACACACACAAAGGUAAGUAAAUACUGCUUUGUAUCCUGAACAAGUCUUUCUGAUAAUGACGUGUUUUGAUUGACUCCAGCUAAGUAUUUUGUGACGCAGUGAUGGAACUUCAAAUGAAAUCUUACAUUUCACGUUCACAAAACACAUGACCUAGUAUUUUCUCAAAGAUGAAUGAGUUCAGAAUUUCAGAUCUCCCAGCUUUCUUAGCCACACUCGAGCCAAUUUUACUUCUAGAAAUAAACAGAGUUACUAAACACUUUAUAUAUAUAGUAACCGAUAAAUUCAUAGAUUAUACUUAUUAUUAAGAUUAGAUUUUCUAGAUGUUUUUUAAGGUAGGUGAUGAUCCCUCAGUGUUUAUAUUGCUCAAUUUACUAUUCUAGCAUAUACCAGACUUACUAGGCCUGUUUCAAUUUAUUUACCCAAAUGAAAAGUUUAAAGGGUUAUAAAUUCCCUGCAUAGUUUUGUUUUAUUGGUUACUUAAGCCCUAUGCCUCUUUCUAUAGUGAACUGUUAAAACACAUUUUUAUAACUUUGCAUUUUAAACUUUUUCUAAAAAAAAACUGUAGCUUUAUCAUCGGAAACUGUAGCAUUUUAAAUGCAUCUAACUAGUGGGAGAGAGAGAUCUAAAUGAAACUAGAAGGGCUUAUUUUGCAUGUGAAAUUUUUAUCACGCUUUCUAUCUCAAUAUAAUUACAAAUGUCAGUAUAACCAUAUCACUUAAAAUGCUCUCAUUGCUAUAGCUUAUUUUUCUUGGAGACAGGAAUACAGGAUUUGAGGCAAGGACAUUGGGGUUUUUUAUUUUUUUAAGGGGUUCUUAAAUUUUACAACAUGGAAGUUGCACAGAUUUAACCAAUUCCAAUAGAAAGUUGGACUGCCUUAACUAAAUUGUUAAAUUAGUGCAAAAAUCUGUGUGUAUGCUAGACUUCAGUAAUUAAUAGAAAACAACCUAGUUCGUGUGAUGAAGAUCUCUCAUGCCAAAUGCAAGGAAGAACUUCAGAUUGCUGUUAUUAAGGUAAGCUGCACUAAUAUGUGGGGACUCUGUACCACACUACUAAAUUACCAAGUAAAUUGUGUAUGUAUUUGGGUAAAAAGAUUUUCCUGCUUUAUUGAUUGGACAGGUGUGGUCUAUAAUAAUCUUCCUGAGAAGCUGCUAUUGCAUCUUCUUUAAGAGUAUUCUAUAAGUUAUAUUUAGCAAAUUUUUAUUUGCUGUUCAAGACGUAGAAGUUACAGCAUUACGGAAAUCAGGGGGAGUCAUCUCACUUCAAGUAUCUAAAGGCUACAACUCUGAGUUAGUCUUAAGAGAGAAACACCUUCAGUGGGUGAUACAAUUUAUUUUAGAUAGUAACCUUAUAACAGUGCCUCACUGUUUAGAACUGCUUAUUUCUGAGCAUUGAUUAUGUAAGAUACUUAAGCUGUCUAGUUCAGACAUCUUUGGUGUCUAAGCUCACUUGGUGGACGUAAGCUCACUUAGAGGAGGCGAGGUGGCUCUAAGCUCACUUAGAGGUGGGAUUCUUCCAUACACGGUAUUUCUAAAUAUGGACUCCGUCCCCAGAACUUAAAGCUGUCUUCUGCGAAUCCUUAUUUAUGUGACCUCAGUGCAUAUGAGGCCCUUUAGGAGUUAAGUGAACUUAACAUGAUUUGCCGAAUUACUCUGGAAUACUUUUUCCAUUAGUCAGUAUAACAUGUUUCGGGCAUGCAUUUAUUUUAUACAUUUACUGUGUACUUGUCAGAUACAAUAUUGUUCUUUCAUAUGACAGUAGUUUUAAAUUGAAGGAAGAAAGUCACCUCACUCCUAAAAUUGUUCUUGGUGGCGAGGGCAUAUAGCAAGUAUAUUUAAAUAUACACCUGACCACCAAGCCCCCUUUUUUUCCUACCCACUCUGUUUUACAUUCAAAAAAAAAAGGUGUAAGUACUAUGCAGUUAAUAGCAGCACAUUCCUGUGUCAGAGGCUGAUUGCAGUGUCUUCAACAAAAGAAAUACUUGAAAGACAUCUGGAUCCGUAUCCUACCCCACGUCUCCAGGAAACAUGAAUUGUUUUUCUUUCUCUUGAUUUUUAAAAGAAGGCAAAAUACUUAAUAUUUAAGUUGCCCAGUCAAGCCUUAUAGACCACUCUUAGUGUCUAUAAUCUUGCAAAAGAUUGUUAGAGAGGGAAUUGCAUCUCACAUUUCAAAUGUGGUGGGAAUGCAUCUCAAUUUCCAAUCACUUUUUUAUAGUACUAAAAAGCAUUCUGAAAGAUUUAGAAAACUUUUUCUUUCUGGUUAGUUGUAAUUACAGCAGAAGAAAAGGCUUUGGCAAAGCUAUUGAGUGAUUUUGCGAAGCAGAGCACAGUACUGGCAGAUUGGAAAAUGCCAUUGAAGAAUAGUAAGUUUCUCAGCUGCUAUAUACAGAGUGGGAUGCACACAAGGCAUUGGUUUAAAGAAGCAUUGCACACAACUCUUUUCUAAAUUCUGCAUGUAAUUCUGUGUUACAUUUCUGCAGAAAAAAUAACUUUCACUAGCAAUUAAAAAAACUGUUUCUAAUGAAAGGUCUUCACGUGGGUAAGGGAAUGCUUCAAACAUUUGCCUUCUUUUCCCUUGUAAAAGUAACAGUGGUUGGACCACUUGUUGACGGAAAGGUUUGUGUGUGUUUGAAGCACUUGAGUUCAUGUUUUCUGAUUGAGAGAAAAACACUUGGAAGAGACUUUACUACGUUUUUCAGUUUCUAACUGUCAAAUAGAAGGCAGCAACAAAUACAUCACCAGUUUAAGAUAGAAAAUGAAUCUAGAAGGAGAGGAAGAUGAUAGGAGUUUGCAGUAUCACAAUUUUGAAACUAGCCAGUCAUAAGCACCAAGUAUUCAUGUUUGUGCUUUGAAUCUGUUGAAAUUCAGCAGGCUUCUCCUGUUAGACUUAAAUAAUCAGCUGACUUUUAACUCAAGUGUUAAAGCUAUGUAAACAACUAUGUGUAUUUAUUGAUAAAACUAGCUAAGUGCACAGGAGAGUAAGAGGUUUUGUUAGGUAAACACAUCUGAUGUGUAUUUUUCAUGCUGUUCUUGUGGUAGAACUGGCUGAGUAAAAAGCUUUUUGUUUUCACAGACUUCUGUUUACUUAAACAGUUAAAAAAUAUGGGCUUAUAGCAAUCUGUUGUCCUACUUGGUACUAGUAUUUCAUAGCAUUGUUAAUGAGUGGGACUUUAAGGGGAAGCUUUCCAUUAGGAAGAUAAAAGUACAGUAUUUGCAGUGCUCCUCGUUUUACAGCAGUGAAUUAGGGAGAGACAACUUAAUGCUGCCACCUACUGGAAGUGAGGAGGUGAGGUUUGGAGAGCGCUACCUCUGGCGAUACAAUCUUGGCUUUUGUUAUCCCCUUUCAGUUUUCUUCAGUUCUUUUGCAGUUCAGCUUUUCUAUGUCUAAGACCUUUUGAUAAUCUGAAUGAUGUUUUCUUGUAUAAUUAAUGAUCCCACAUUCAAAGGGCACCCGGACUGCUUUGUUCGUGCAAACAAACAAAAACCAUCAAAAUAUGAAGACUUAGGCAGGGCAGUGCAGUCAUACUGGGAGCCCAUAAUCAGAAAAUGUGCGUACAAAAAUGAUAGGAUUAUAGCAUACGUAGUUCAUGUAUUUUUUUCCUUCUGUGAUUUUUAUAAUACAGUACCAAGACAGGAAAGAAAGAAUAUAUGCGACUAUAAAGAGUGCAGGGGGAAAACGUAGUAUACUCAAAAGCAGAGGAACUAUGGCUCAGGAGGUAGAAGCGAUGUAUGAGGCUGUAAAUACAACUGUGGAAAGAAAAAAAAUAAGGCCAUUUCUAUACACAGACUGGUGGCACUUCAAACUUAUCUGAAGAUAAGAAUUAUACUGGCUUAAGUUGUGACUCCUCAGUUUAGUGAGUGCAAGUGGUUAAAUUUGUAUUGGUUCAGCUUAACUAUUACGAAAGCGUUGUGCUUAAACUGAGGAGCUGUUCUUAAGUCAUAAGCAAGUUUGAUCGCAAGGACUGACUGUCAUUAAGCUUGAUGCUUCUAUUUUAGUGGGAGUGUUCCCCUGUAAGAUAAGUUAGCGCAUGCUGAGUUCCAAAUUAUUAAAACUAAACCAUUUCUGGUACCUGAAAUAACACCUUAAAAGCUAAGGUAUCUUUGCUUAAUGCUGUAUCUAUUCUACAAUGUAGACCCAUUGUAAUAAGCAUUAAUUAUUGAAUAGUACCAAGGGAAUAAAAAAUGACUCUUAAUUUUUAUGUUAGUAGCAAUUUUCUGGUACACUGGGCUGCUGUGUAUGUGGUUUAGGCUUAACCCUUUGUAACUAGGGGAGUUUUUAGAAAGGCUGCUGAGGGACCAAAUAACGAUCAGAAUAUUUGAGAUGAAUCUGCCAGAACUGAGAAAUUCAUGUUGGAGUUGGCCUUGGAAGGAUCAUAGAACAGCAAUGGCUGGUGUACCACUGCUCCAGUACUGAACUUGCAUCUGGCGGGGGCUGUGCUGGCGGAGGGGCUGCUGGCUGAUCUGAACCCUGGCUAUGGAGUGAGGCAGACCAGUAGUGGCUGCUGAAGCCAGCAUCCCCUGGGACUCAGCCUAUAAAAAGGAGCAGUGGCAUCCCUGGGGAGCGAUGGUCAACUCCUGCCUGUGAACUACUGGAGCUCCCCUUCUCAGCUCUACCAGGUAUGUUAUGUCUGUCCUGUGGCUGUGUGCCACAUGAAGAUUUUUGCCAUGUAUCCUAAGUUAGGAAGGCUGGUCCCUGUUGGUGGCGUGUUUCCUGUUGUGCCUUUCAAGCAUCUGGCACCCCUGUGGUGCUUGGACGACAGAAAGCCAGCAGACUUGCCAUCAUGGAUACUUGGUUUCAGAGUGAGGAACUGUUGCAGAAGAGAAGGGUUGGGGAUGGGGAAGAAGCCUGGUACAACUUACAGAUGCACUAUGACUAUUAGGGUGGUUUACCUCUUGUCACUAAAACUGAAAGUGAUGAAAGUUUGAUUAAAAAAAACCUCACCACCCUCUACUGCUGUUUUGCUUUCUUUUACUAAUACUACUUUAGUUCUUUGAACUUAAUUGACUGCAUAGCCAGUGAAAAAGGUUUUCCCAUGCUAGUCCCCAAAUAAAAGGCUUUUUUGAGGCGAUCUCUUGCACUUUGGAGUCAAGUUUUGCUGCUGAUCUUGGUGCUGGUGGUUCGUUGUUUGAUCUGUACUGAACAUGGAACCUGAAGAUGGCCUAUCCCUGCAAGGAGUGAUGGUACCAAUCCGUAAAUGGUUCUUGAAAAUAUGGAGCCCUCUUUUACUUUACAGCAGACGGUGCCUCUCUUCCCCUCAGGAGUGGCAUAGUUGUGAAGAUGUAGUCAUCUAAUAUGGAUAAGAUAAAUCGCUAUAAUUUCAUAUAGAUUAAAACAAAGCUUUGCAUGUCUGAACUACAGAUGCAUGAGCAUAGCUACAGUGUUGGCUCAAAUGCAAACAAAUCAUCACUACAGAAGAGACCCUUGUCUCAAAAGCUUCCUAAAUUGAUUAAUUUUAAAGGCGGACUUACUUUCUUUGUAUGCCUGAAUAUAUAGGCUUGGCACACAGAAUCGGUUUAAUUAUGAGCUGCUCAUUGUAGAGAUUGGAACUGAUAGAGGCUUUAAAAAAAAAAAAAACAGGGCAGGAGGCACACCUCUUAAACAUUAGUGUUGGGUAAUAAAGUUUGAUCUGGUACUGAAAGUGGAAAUGGAAAGACUUCUCCACAUCGUUUCAGAGGCAAUUAACAGUGAAAACUAACACCGAAACGUGUUUAAGAGUAGUUCAAUGCUUUUCAGUGACUUAUAACUAACGCUAAGCUAUCUCUGAGAGAAAUUACAAGUCUGGCAUAAAUAGGCUUCAGGAGAGCAGCAAUUGCACGACUGGAGUAGAAGCAGUUACGAACUACACCUCACCUUCAGAGCCUUGGGCAUUGAAUGUUCAGUGCCACAAGAGGGUGCUUCAGUGGCACCUAACAGGAUUGACUCUUCGACAAGUUUCUGAGGCUCUGAAAUAGCAGGCAUGCAUCCCAGCAGUGUGGCUUUGCAAAGGCUGCUCUUGAGGAACGUCACUUGACUGGUAAGUAACUUCCCAUUGUAGAGUGCUUUAUAACUGACAUCUACGGCACCAGCUCACCCGUGUAUUUUGUUCAACUUUUAGUUAGCUGAUGCAUCAAAGGUUUCAAUUAAAAAGGGGGGGGGGGGGGGGGGGGGGGGUUAAACUUCUGUAACAGCCACUUCAUUGGGGUGGAGAUAUUAGUUAAAUUGUGCUCUGCAAAGAUUAUUUCUGUCACUAAUCGUGCAGAAAGGGGUCAUGAGACAAGUUCCUGUAAGACUUGGGCUAAGUAGCAAAGGGAAGCUGUUGGGAAAACAGUUCUAAAUUUGGCUGAGGAGUCCUGCCCACCCUAUGUUUCAGCAGUUUUACAAAGGUAAACUUGCUGUUCCUAAAAUCAGAUAUUGAUUAAUUGGGGCAGUGUGUUUAAUCUCUGAGCCAAGAGAUCAUCCCUUCAGGGAUACGUGUCAAAAUGAGCUGCCCUCACCUUCUGUAAUGUUCAGACGGGACAGCUGCAGCACGCUGGAACGACUGCACAGAGAAACUGCUGUUGCAGCUACUACCUGCCUCUGAGUGAGAAGGAGCAGCAGGACCAUACGAAACUUCACAGUGCCAAUUCACAGGCCAAUUUCUGAGUGACACUCAAAGUACUGUUCUUGUGUGUGUGUAUUCAUAAGCAGUUUAUUGCUUUUAGGUGCUCUGCUCACACCUGUAUCCCAAUCAGACGUUUAAGCUAUCAUUAAGGCCAGUGCUGUUUCAUAUCUUUAGAGAUGAGCUUGUCUCAAAAUACAUAAUUGCUCAGUUCUGGCUAGCCUUUACACAGGCUUCCCGAGAAUACCUUUUAGUAGGUAUUUUUACUAUUUGGACAGCUACAAGGCUACACUGGUAUGGUGAAUUUUGCUCCCUCUAAUCUGACUUUUUUCAAAAGGACAUAAAAUCCUUUUAGGUGUAGUAAGUGAUCCACUUCAAAACGUGAAUCACAAAUAGCUGCGUGCUGCUUUUUAGGUUUUAUUAUUUGUAUUGUAGAAUUUUACAAAAAUUCUCCAAUUUCUGAGUGUUAACUCCACCAGCUCUCUUACUGUUGCUGCCCCCAAGAACUUGCGGGUGGUGCACACAUUUGCUUUCUAAAUCUUUUUCUAAAAUUCUCUAUUUUGGUGAGAGAAAGGGGAGAAUGAAAAAUAUCUGUAGAACCCGCGUGUGCUUCAGCAGCCUCUGUGCUGUGGGGCUGUAAAGGCUCGCUGAUCUGCAAGACUCUUCUGAAGUGCUGGCUUGGUGAAGUCCUGCUCCCCUGCAUCAGCGCUUUGUGAAACCGGAAAGUUCUGUGCAAGCUGAACGAGAUGCACCCAUCGUCCCGUCCUCUCUACGCUUCCUUGAGGGAAUGUUAUCAUGGGAAGAAAAAACAGAUUAGUGUAGGCAGGGGAGGAGAGAGAACACAGUGAAAUGUUAAGACAAUAUUAGGUACUAGCGUCAAUAGUUUCGGUGUCUGAGUGGCGUUAUGCCGUGUUUUUUUUAAUUCUGUAGGAAACUUCCUCAGAAGUACUCUGGAACAAGCAAUCAACUUGCAUGAGUGCAAGAUACAUUUUGCAAAAUUUCUUAAUGAUGUUCUGAACUACUAUUUGUGAUGCUUCUUUGUUGCAGAGAUUCUUUUUUUAAAUGUGAGCUGUACAGUUUCUUAGCAAGACACUCUUCAAGUAUAGAUACCUAUGGUUUAUCUAAAGUACAGUUUAUAGCUUGAGCAAGAAAUUGAAUUUCUUUAAAGAACUGUAAUCUAGAUAAUUGUAAAAUUAAGCAAAAUGGAAUGAAUAGCACACUUCAGGUGUUUAAAAGUUGGAAUAACUAGGUAGUGUCUCCAGCAAAAUAACCCAUCAUAAAUGAGAAUUUAAAUAGAAGCUGUGGAUGGGGUGGCAGGUAUUUUGAAGUGGCUUUCCAAAGCUACUUUUCUGGAGAUUCAGGUGGAAAGGAAAAAGGGGGCAAAGAACCAGGAUAUGCUUUAAUGUUACGUAGAAAUAUUCUGAAGAGAUCAAAGGAAGAACAAAGUUUCUCUUGGGUAACUUACGUUCUGGUGAUGCAAAACGCAACCUCCCGGUGUAGGUGAGGGAUUACCAUGCAAGUGUUCCCUGCAAAUCCUUCACACACAAUUGAACAGUGCUACACUGUGGAAAUCAUUCUUGAAUUUGACCUCAGCAACCAACUUACAAUGUUAAAACAUCAAUGCUGAGGUUUAGGAAGGUGAUACUUAACCAUCAGGCUUUCAGCCGGUUCAUCUGUAACACAGCAGAUAAUGUGGCAGUUUGGUACCACUUAGGUUUCAUUCUUAGCUACGUGUUGUAAUAUUUGGCUUAGCUUUAACAGGAGUUUUCUUAGGGGAGGGCUUCUGUAUCUGAUGACAUCUAGUGGGAGAGAUUAUAGUUGUGUCUAGUGAGCAUACCAUAGCAAUGCUAUUUCUUAAACCCUACAAAGAAUGCACUUCUUUUCCUGCCUGAGUAUUCACUGGGUCUCGCUCUGGAAAUGAGCUGACUCAUGAGCUCCAUCUGUACCUCACGGUCUUUUAGCCCAAGCCUCCCUUCAGUCAGUAAGAAUCUUGUUGCUGUCCUUGUAAGCAGGCCACAAGACAAAAUGGGGAAAAUUGGAAUUCACUAGGGGGUUUGUUUUGUUUUAGUACUGUUGCUAACAUCAAGCCCAGGGAUUCGGAAGUGCUGGGUAGAAGAGUCACCGGAUUCUUCCUUCUGGCACUGAUCUGUCUGUGGUGAAACUCCUGUUAGGCUGAAUGGGCUGAUGUUCUGGAGUCGUCUUUAUCCUUUUAUGGUAAAAUCGGUUUAAGAGCAUUUAAUAUAGGUACUGUACACUGGUGCU